CCUACGGGGGGCAGCAGUAGGGAAUAUUGCGCAAUGGGGGAAACUCUGAUGCAGCGACGCCGCGUGAGUGAAGAAGGAUUUCGGUAUGUAAAGCUCUAUCAGCAGGGAAGAAAAUGACGGUACGUGACUAAUAAGCCCUGGCUAACUACGUGCCAGCAGCCGCGGUAAUACGUAGGGGGCAAGCGUUAUCCGGAUUUACUGGGUGUAAAGUGAGCGUAGGCGGCAGCACAAGUCUGGAGUGAAAUGCCGGGGCUUAACCCCGGAGCUGCUUUGGAAACUGGGCAGCUAGAGUGCAGAAGAGGAAAGUGGAAUUCCUAGUGUAGCGGUGAAAUGCGUAGAUAUUAGGAGGAACACCAGUGGCGAAGGCGACUUACUGGACUGUAACUGACGUUGAGGCUCGAAAGCGUGGGGAGCAAACAGGAUUAGAUACCCGAGUAGUC
rnacentral:rRNA from 1 species